AGUGAACGCUGGCGGUAGGCCUAACACAUGCAAGUCGAACGGCAGCACAGUAAGAGCUUGCUCUUACGGGUGGCGAGUGGCGGACGGGUGAGGAAUACAUCGGAAUCUACUUUUUCGUGGGGGACAACGUAGGGAAACUUACGCUAAUACCGCAUACGACCUACGGGUGAAAGCAGGGGAUCUUCGGACCUUGCGCGAUUGAAUGAGCCGAUGUCGGAUUAGCUAGUUGGCGGGGUAAAGGCCCACCAAGGCGACGAUCCGUAGCUGGUCUGAGAGGAUGAUCAGCCACACUGGAACUGAGACACGGUCCAGACUCCUACGGGAGGCAGCAGUGGGGAAUAUUGGACAAUGGGCGCAAGCCUGAUCCAGCCAUGCCGCGUGGGUGAAGAAGGCCUUCGGGUUGUAAAGCCCUUUUGUUGGGAAAGAAAAGCAGCAGGUUAAUACCCCGCUGUUCUGACGGUACCCAAAGAAUAAGCACCGGCUAACUUCGCG
rnacentral:rRNA from 1 species